UUUCUUUUGGCCGAGUGGUUAUGGCGUGUGCCUGCUACAUACAUACGUUUUCCCAACGAGAGUCUGAAUCUCUCAAGAUAAA
rnacentral:tRNA from 1 species